rnacentral:rRNA from 1 species
GAUGAACGCUGGCGGCGUGCCUAAUACAUGCAAGUCGAGCGAACGGACGAGAAGCUUGCUUCUCUGAUGUUAGCGGCGGACGGGUGAGUAACACGUGGAUAACCUACCUAUAAGACUGGGAUAACUUCGGGAAACCGGAGCUAAUACCGGAUAAUAUUUUGAACCGCAUGGUUCAAAAGUGAAAGACGGUCUUGCUGUCACUUAUAGAUGGAUCCGCGCUGCAUUAGCUAGUUGGUAAGGUAACGGCUUACCAAGGCAACGAUGCAUAGCCGACCUGAGAGGGUGAUCGGCCACACUGGAACUGAGACACGGUCCAGACUCCUACGGGAGGCAGCAGUAGGGAAUCUUCCGCAAUGGGCGAAAGCCUGACGGAGCAACGCCGCGUGAGUGAUGAAGGUCUUCGGAUCGUAAAACUCUGUUAUUAGGGAAGAACAUAUGUGUAAGUAACUGUGCACAUCUUGACGGUACCUAAUCAGAAAGCCACGGCUAACUACGUGCCAGCAGCCGCGGUAAUACGUAGGUGGCAAGCGUUAUCCGGAAUUAUUGGGCGUAAAGCGCGCGUAGGCGGUUUUUUAAGUCUGAUGUGAAAGCCCACGGCUCAACCGUGGAGGGUCAUUGGAAACUGGAAAACUUGAGUGCAGAAGAGGAAAGUGGAAUUCCAUGUGUAGCGGUGAAAUGCGCAGAGAUAUGGAGGAACACCAGUGGCGAAGGCGACUUUCUGGUCUGUAACUGACGCUGAUGUGCGAAAGCGUGGGGAUCAAACAGGAUUAGAUACCCUGGUAGUCCACGCCGUAAACGAUGAGUGCUAAGUGUUAGGGGGUUUCCGCCCCUUAGUGCUGCAGCUAACGCAUUAAGCACUCCGCCUGGGGAGUACGACCGCAAGGUUGAAACUCAAAGGAAUUGACGGGGACCCGCACAAGCGGUGGAGCAUGUGGUUUAAUUCGAAGCAACGCGAAGAACCUUACCAAAUCUUGACAUCCUUUGACAACUCUAGAGAUAGAGCUUUCCCCUUCGGGGGACAAAGUGACAGGUGGUGCAUGGUUGUCGUCAGCUCGUGUCGUGAGAUGUUGGGUUAAGUCCCGCAACGAGCGCAACCCUUAAGCUUAGUUGCCAUCAUUAAGUUGGGCACUCUAAGUUGACUGCCGGUGACGAACCGGAGGAAGGUGGGGAUGACGUCAAAUCAUCAUGCCCCUUAUGAUUUGGGCUACACACGUGCUACAAUGGACAAUACAAAGGGCAGCGAAACCGUGAGGUCAAGCAAAUCCCAUAAAGUUGUUCUCAGUUCGGAUUGUAGUCUGCAACUCGACUACAUGAAGCUGGAAUCGCUAGUAAUCGUAGAUCAGCAUGCUACGGUGAAUACGUUCCCGGGUCU